rnacentral:misc_RNA from 1 species
GUAGGUGAACCUGCGGAGGGAUCAUUACCGAGUGAGGGCCUCCGGGCUCGACCCCCAACCCUUUGUCGUACCAACCACAGUUGCCUCGGGGGGGCGACCCGGCCUCCGCGUCGGGGCCCCCGGUGGACCCAACCAAACAACUCCGCGUCUUUUGCGUCUGAGUAUCAAAGUAAAUCAAUUAAAACUUUCAACAACGGAUCUCUUGGUUCUG